rnacentral:rRNA from 1 species
GCAAAGGAAAGGAAACUUUCCACAGAAGCUUCCAUCGCAAUACAGCGCACGCACACGCACACACACUGCUUCUUCUUCUCUCCUUAUAAAAACCGCCGUCCCUCCCAUUCGUUCUUGCCAUCCAUCCCCAUCCUUCCUUCCCUCCCUCCCCUGAGCCGAGCCGUGCUGUGAGGGUGGGGGGCAAGGCAAACCAUUCAAUCCGUUCCAGUCUUCCCAUCCUCUGCUCAGGCCGAGGCCUCCGUCUCCCCUGCCUCGCUUCCUACCAUGGCUGCCAGGUGGGCCCCGCCGGCCGGCCUCCUCCUGCUCCUGCUGCUGGCGGUCCUGCUGCCGGCGCGCGCGGACAGGCCGGCGAGGACCGCCCACGCGGACGACGACCCGGAGGCCUCCUCCGCCGUCUUCCAGCUCUACGGCAACGUCUACCCCCACGGGUUGUACUACGUGGCCAUGAGCAUUGGCAACCCGGCGAAACCAUACUUCCUUGACGUCGACACCGGCAGCGACCUCACCUGGCUGCAGUGCGACGCCCCCUGCGUCAGCUGCUCCAAGGUGCCACACCCGCUCUACAGACCAACAAAGAACAAGCUGGUACCGUGUGUUGAUCAGCUGUGCACCUCUCUGCACGGCGGCCUCAGUAAAAACCACAAGUGCGACUCACCGAAGCAGCAGUGCGACUAUGAAGUUAAGUAUGCCGACCAGGGUUCAUCCCUUGGCGUGCUCGUCAACGACAGUUUUGCAGUCCGCCUUGCGAAUGCCUCCGUUGUCCGCCCCAGUCUUGCAUUCGGGUGUGGGUAUGACCAGGAGGUCGGGAGCAGCACUGAGGUUGCGCCCACUGAUGGUGUGCUUGGGCUUGGGAGUGGAUCGAUCAGCCUGCUUUCACAGUUCAAGCAGCAUGGGAUCACCAAGAACGUGGUUGGCCACUGCCUCAGCAUGAGAGGAGGGGGAUUCCUCUUCUUUGGGGAUAAUCUCGUGCCUUAUUCACGUGCAACAUGGGUACCAAUGGCUAGGAGUGCAUUCAGGAAUUAUUACUCACCUGGCUCAGCAAGCCUGUAUUUUGGUGGCCGGUCACUUGGCGUGAGACCUAUGGAAGUAGUAUUGGACAGCGGAAGCUCAUUCACCUACUUCUCUGCACAACCAUAUCAAGCGCUUGUCACUGCACUUAAGGGUGAUCUAAGCAAGACGCUGAAAGAGGUGUCUGACCCCUCUCUGCCUCUAUGCUGGAAAGGAAAGAAACCAUUCAAAUCCGUGCUUGAUGUCAAGAAGGAGUUCAAAUCAUUGGUUCUGAACUUUGCCAAUGGCAAGAAGGCGCUCAUGGAGAUCCCUCCUGAGAACUACCUCAUCGUCACUAAAUACGGGAAUGCAUGUUUGGGCAUCCUUAACGGAUCAGAGAUUGGACUCAAGGAUCUGAACAUUGUUGGAGAUAUUACAAUGCAGGACCAGAUGGUGAUAUAUGACAAUGAGAGAGGGCAGAUUGGAUGGAUCCGAGCACCCUGUGAUAGAAUCCCCAAGUUCGGAUCUUCCCUUCUGUGAUCAUUUCACACACCUGAACAUAUAUACCCUUAAUUCUCUUCUGUUUAUUCAAACAGUGAAAAUACCAUUCAUGGAUUUGAGGAAGGUUAUUGUUGGCCCCAGUUCCCCAGCAGCAUCUUUGGUAUUCAGAACGAAGAGUGUGCAGUUAACUACCGUUCGAACAAAGAGUGAAUAACAAGGGGAGGCCAUUGGACAAAAAUAAUCAUCCCAGGGAGGCUCUAUAUACGAAGUUAGGAACGUGUAUUCUUUAGAAAGGAGAAAAAUCUGGUAGCCUGUAAUCAUCGCCAUGUGCAUAUGAAAUAUAAUCAUUCCGUUCUUAUGAAUCAAGGGUGUUAAUGACUUACUAUGUUUACUUGAGAUGUUUUAUGGAGCAUAUGGCAGAUGAUGAAUGACUCUUGCAAAUUAACCUGCACUGCAUUGCAGGUAUUUCUGAAUUGGCUUUCGGAACUUGAAGAACUGAAACUUGAGCAACCAACUGAACCUACCCUUGUGCCCAAAUGUGAAACUUCAGCGUAACCAACUGAAGAACUGUGUUGCUGCCAUGACUUAUCACCUGAUGUUGGGUGGAGCCAAGGGAAGAUUGAUAUCAUGGUUUAGAUCUUGUAGUAGUCAUUCUUUAGUUGUAAGGAUGUCUGUAAGGUGAUGUUGUUAGUCCCAGGUAUGUAGGAAUGCCUGUCAGUUUAUUUCGGUAUAAUAUGUACAGUAGAAUUGUUCUUUGUGCGGUAGUCUUUUUUUUAAACAAGGCAAAAGAUUUGUUAUUUUCAUUAAUGAAGAAGAGGC